UGGUGCAUUAGGGAAUAUGUACAAGUUAAGCUAGUUGCGUUAGGGAACCACCUUUUUUCUAACAAUUUGUCGAGUUGUUGUGCUUAAGCAACCGACUCGUUGGACAAAAUCAAAUUGUCAGUUACGAAAAAGAUUGAUUGAAAAUAGCGCCCAAAAACAGUUGACAAUCACUGUUUUGACGUCAUACAUGAAGGUUAGUCUAAGCAGUUUUCUCUCACUUUCAUUUACGACCAAAAACAGCACACAUGCAGCUGCUCACUGCUCAGUGUUGGUUCAAUUUGGUCCAGUGUACAGUACAUAAACAUAUCGUUUCGUUCAUCGCCACUUGAAUUAUAGUGUCAACCAAGUUUACCUCGCUAUGAAGGAUAAAAAGAUUAGCAAGCUUGUUGCUGAUUCAGCAGCGUUCAUCAGAAAUGCGCAAAUGCAGGAUAUUGCUGAUGUCUUUUACACGGUUAGGGAUGUCGUUGACGAAAUUAGAGAUCAAGCUACAAAGCAGAGACUCAGAGUUUUACCUUAUGAAAUAAAAAUGAUGGAACCAUCACCGGUGGUGAUGGACAAUGAAUGAAUGUGAACAAUCGUAAUAUUAUCAAUAUUAGACAGA